GCACUUCGCUUACACCGAGGAAUUAUCUGUUACACCCAGAUUGUCUUGA
rnacentral:tRNA from 1 species